UACGUAGGUGGCAAGCGUUGUCCGGAUUUAUUGGGCGUAAAGCGCGCGCAGGCGGUUCUGUCCGUCCGUCGUGAAAUCUCCCGGCUCAACUGGGAGGGUGCGGGGGAGACUGCAGGACUGGAGGCACUCAGAGGCCGGUGGAAUUCCCGGUGGAGUGGUGAAAUGCGUAGAGAUCGGGAGGAACACCAGUGGCGAAGGCGGCCGGCUGGGGGUGACCUGACGCUGAGGCGCGAAAGCGUGGGGAGCGAACCGG
rnacentral:rRNA from 1 species